rnacentral:lncRNA from 1 species
GUAAAGGCCACGCAGGUUCCAGGCGUUCUGAGUUCCGCUGGCCCUUCGGCCAGUCCUCAUAGGUGGGCUUCACAGUCCCUGGGAGUCGUCAGUUAUUUGCCCUUCUCUUCCUGAAAAUGUUUCUCUGAGAGCUGACAGAAUGACACUUGGUCCCCAGCUACUGCAGCCUCCCUGUCCUAAAUCAUAACCGUUCUGGACCUGCAUCCUACUCAGUAAACCACAGAUUCUGCCAUGGAGACCUUGUAUGAGCUAUGACCUCAUCCCUAUUUUGCAGUAAAUAUAUUAAUCUCCUUGUGAAAUCAGCACUCUACUUCGAGAUACAGGAUUGCACUUCAGACUUGCCACCGCCCUUUUAAAGUUCAUCAUGCUUUUCUUUGCAUCAGACAGGGUUUCUCGGUGGCUUUGGAGGAUGCCCUGGAACUAGCUCUUGAGACCAUCUCAAACUCAUAGAGAUCUGCCUGCUUCUGCCUCCCGAGUACUGGGACUAAAGGCAUGCGCCACUAAUGCCCAUCACUGCUGUUUUCUGCCUGAGUCAGAAACUUUUCUUCCCCACUUAAUAAAGGAUCUCUCUGUGAAGAAAAACAAAAAGACUAUGUCUCUCUAUAUAAAGUUUUAUAACUAUUCACUUAUUUUGCGCGUAGGAGGCAUUGAGCACUCUCUACCUACAAUCUUGCUGUAGGAAUGCUGUGAUUACAGAUGGCACCACCACAG